UGGUGGAGCGAUUUGUCUGGUUAAUUCCGAUAACGAACGAGACUCUGGCCUACUAAAUAGACGUUGAAUCCCUUUGUGGGUUCUUCGUAGCUUCUUAGAGGGACGGGCAGCGUUUAGCUGCACGAGAUUGAGCAAUAACA
rnacentral:rRNA from 1 species